GGCCCUGUCGUCUAGUGGACUAGGACACCGGCCCUUCAAGCCGGAGACACGGGUUCGAAUCCCGUCAGGGUCA
rnacentral:tRNA from 2 species